GCGGCGGCGGCGGAGGCGGCGGCGGCGGCGGCGGCGGCGGCGGCGC
rnacentral:miRNA from 1 species